CCUACGGGAGACAGCAGUGAGGAAUAUUUGUCAAUGGGCGCGAGCCUGAACCAGCCAAGUAGCGUGAAGGAUGACUGCCCUACGGGUUGUAAACUUCUUUUAUAAAGGCAUAAAGUGAGGCACGUGUGCCUUUUUGUAUGUACUUUAUGAAUAAGGAUCGGCUAACUCCGUGCCAUCAGCCGCGGUAAUACGGAGGAUCCGAGCGUUAUCCGGAUUUAUUGGGUUUAAAGGUAGCGUAGAUGGGUUGUUAAGUCAGUUGUGAAAGUUUGCGGCUCAACCGUAAAAUUGCAAUUGAUACUGGCAGUCUUGAGUACAGUUGAGGUAGGCGGAAUUCGUGGGGUAGCGGUGAAAUGCUUAGAUAGCACGAAGAACUCCGAUUGCGAAGGCAGCUUACUAAACUGCCACUGACAUUGAUGCUCGAAAGUGUGGGUAUCAAACAGGAUUAGAUACCCUGGUAGUC
rnacentral:rRNA from 1 species